rnacentral:rRNA from 1 species
GUUUGAUCCUGGCUCAGGAUGAACGCUGGCGGUCUGCUUAACACAUGCAAGUCGAACGGAGUGCUUCGGCACUUAGUGGCGGACGGGUGAGUAACGCGUGAGAAUCUGCCCUUAGGACGGGGACAACAGCUGGAAACGGCUGCUAAUACCCGAUGUGCCGAGAGGUGAAACAUUUUAUGGCCUGAGGAUGAGCUCGCGUCUGAUUAGCUAGUUGGUGGGGUAAGAGCCUACCAAGGCGGCGAUCAGUAGCUGGUCUGAGAGGAUGAUCAGCCACACUGGGACUAAGACACGGCCCAGACUCCUACGGGAGGCAGCAGUGGGGAAUUUUCCGCAAUGGGCGCAAGCCUGACGGAGCAAGACCGCGUGCGGGAGGACGGCCUAUUGGUUGUAAACCGCUUUUGAUAGGGAAGAAGUACUGACGGUACCUAUCGAAUCAGCAUCGGCUAACUCCGUGCCAGCAGCCGCGGUAAUACGGAGGAUGCAAGCGUUAUCCGGAAUUAUUGGGCGUAAAGCGUCCGUAGGUGGUUGUUCAAGUCUGCUGUUAAAGCGUGCGGCUUAACCGCAUACCAGCAGUGGAAACUGGGCGACUAGAGUGCGGUAGGGGUCAGGGGAAUUCCCAGUGUAGCGGUGAAAUGCGUAGAUAUUGGGAAGAACACCGGUGGCGAAAGCGCCUGACUGGACCUGCACUGACACUGAGGGACGAAAGCUAGGGGAGCGGAUGGGAUUAGAUACCCCAGUAGUCCUAGCCGUAAACGAUGGAUACUAGGCGUUGAGAGUAUCGACCCUCUCAGUGCCGUAGCUAACGCGUUAAGUAUCCCGCCUGGGGAGUACGCACGCAAGUGUGAAACUCAAAGGAAUUGACGGGGCCCGCACAGCGGUGGAGUAUGUGG